rnacentral:rRNA from 1 species
GCGCCGCCCGACAAAGCAAGCCUGUUAGCCUUCAGGACGAAGCCCCAAACCCCACACCAGCCGGGCGGGUACAAANGGAAAGACAAUAGGGAAGUAGAGUACUACCCCACACGAUCAUGAGUCCGCAUGGAUUUAUGAGGAACGUUCCGGCGAGACAGGAUGGGCACGCGUCCUAUUAUUCAUANGGUAAGGCAACGGCGGACCAAGACAUCGACAGGUAGGGGACCUGACAGGGAGAUCCCCCACACUGGUACUGAGACACGGACCAGACUCCUACGGGAGGCAGCAGCGAGGAAUAUUGGCCAAUGGAGGCAAGUCUGAUCCAGCCAUGCCCGGGAGCAGGAGGACGGCCCUAUGGGAUUGUAAACUGCUUUUAUA